rnacentral:rRNA from 1 species
GAUGAACGCUGGCGGCGUGCUUAACACAUGCAAGUCGAACGGUGAAGCAGGAGCUUGCUCUUGUGGAUCAGUGGCGAACGGGUGAGUAACACGUGAGCAACCUGCCCCUGACUCUGGGAUAAGCGCUGGAAACGGCGUCUAAUACUGGAUAUGUGAUGUGACCGCAUGGUCUGCAUCUGGAAAGAAUUUCGGUUGGGGAUGGGCUCGCGGCCUAUCAGCUUGUUGGUGAGGUAAUGGCUCACCAAGGCGUCGACGGGUAGCCGGCCUGAGAGGGUGGCCGGCCACACUGAGACUGAGACACGGCGCAGACUCCUACGGGAGGCAGCAGUGGAGAAUAUUGCACAAUGGGCGGAAGCCUGAUGCAGCAACGCCGCGUGAGGGAUGACGGCCUUCGGGUUGUAAACCUCUUUUAGCAGGGAAGAAGCGAAAGUGACGGUACCUGCAGAAAAAGCACCGGCUAACUACGUGCCAGCCGCCGCGGUAA